AUUGAACGCUGGCGGAAUGCUUUACACAUGCAAGUCGAACGGCAGCACGGGGGCAACCCUGGUGGCGAGUGGCGAACGGGUGAGUAAUACAUCGGAACGUGCCCGGUCGUGGGGGAUAACGUAGCGAAAGUUACGCUAAUACCGCAUACGAUCUGAGGAUGAAAGCGGGGGACCUUCGGGCCUCGCGCGAUCGGAGCGGCCGAUGUCAGAUUAGGUAGUUGGUGGGGUAAAGGCCUACCAAGCCGACGAUCUGUAGCUGGUCUGAGAGGACGACCAGCCACACUGGGACUGAGACACGGCCCAGACUCCUACGGGAGGCAGAAGUGGGGAAUUUUGGACAAUGGGCGCAAGCCUGAUCCAGCCAUUCCGCGUGCAGGACGAAGGCCUUCGGGUUGUAAACUGCUUUUGUAUGGAACGAAAAGGCUCUGGCUAAUACCUGGGGCUCAUGACGGUACCGUAAGAAUAAGCACCGGCUAACUACGUG
rnacentral:rRNA from 1 species